rnacentral:lncRNA from 1 species
AUGCUAUCAGUAGCCAGCAGGGAGAUCUCAUAUAGCCCCUGCAGGAUGCAUUCUCUGGGCUCCAGCUCUGGGCUGUCCCCUUGUUCCACAUGGAGGCAAUCCUUUUGGUCCGCAUCCUCAAGGUACAGCCGCAGUCUCAGCAUGUCCUGCUCAGCCUUGGAUACCAGUCUGGACCUGCCUGAGAGGUCGAGGCACAAGUGCUCUAAAAUGCUGGAAACUUCCUCAGUGAAAAGCGGUGGCUGCCCUUUCAUUUACCCUCGUGGGCCUUCGAAGCCCUUCUACAAAGCUGUCACCAGAAGACAAGUCAGUCGUGGCCCAUAUUACCAAUAUAUAAGUAGCCUGGAAGGAAAUUUUUGAGGUGACUGUGAUCACAAGGAUAGUGCCCUCUGUAGCCAACAGGAAAAGCCAGCAAUUGAGGUAGGGAAUGAGGCAGGCCAGAUGUCCCCUCAGUGGAUGUCCCUUGGGAGGCUCCCUGGUUGACCUAGGCAAAGGAGAAAGGGUGACAGCAGGCUCACAAGGUGUGAGGUGUGAGAGUCAGUGGAUGGAGAGAAAGUUUGAUAUACUGAGGCUCCACAGGAUUUGACUCUAGGAGUUCUAGGGACAGAGAUAGAUUGGAUUCACUAGGCACUUGCUGGGGUAAGAGGUUUAGGCCCUAGUCAGCAAAAUUGAAGCUAUACCCUUUCUUUAAGAAUCAUUCUCUGGGGGCAGCUGGGUGGCUCAGUGGAUUGAGAGCCAGGCCUAGAGAUAGGAGGUCCUAGGUUAAAAUUUGGCCUCAGACACUUCCCAGCUGUGUGACCCUGGGCAAGUCACUUCACUCCCAUUGCCUAGCUCUUACCACUCUUCUGCCUUGGAACCAAUACACAUUAUUGAUUCCAAGAUGGAAGGUAAGGGUUAAAAAAAAAAAGAAUAAUUCUCUCAUUUCUGAUUAAUAAAAUAUUAAAAUCUAUAGCCA